AACGUACGCUGGCGGCACGCCUAACACAUGCAAGUCGAACGAAGUAGCAAUACUUAGUGGCAGACGGGUGAGUAACAUGUAGGUAUCUACCCUUUGGCCUGGAAUAACACGAGGAAACUUGUGCUAAUACCAGAUAAGUCUUUACGGAGAAAGCUUUAUGCACCAUUGGAUGAGCCUGCACUUGAUUAGUUUGUUGGUGGGGUAAUGGCCUACCAAGACUGUGAUCAAUAGCUGAUUUGAGAGGAUGAUCAGCCACAUUGGGACUGAGACACGGCCCAAACUCCUACGGGAGGCAGCAGUGGGGAAUCUUGCACAAUGGAGGAAACUCUGAUGCAGCGAUGCCGCGUGAGUGAAGAAGGCCCUUGGGUUGUAAAGCUCUUUCGUCGGGGAAGAAAAUGACUGUACCCGAAUAAGAAGGUCCGGCUAACUUCGUGCCAGCAGCCGCGGUAAUACGAAGGGACCUAGCGUAGUUCGGAAUUACUGGGCUUAAAGAGUUCGUAGGUGGUUGAAAAAGUUAGUGGUGAAAUCCCAGAGCUUAACUCUGGAACUGCCAUUAAAACUUUUCAGCUAGAGUAUGAUAGAGGAAAGCAGAAUUUCUAGUGUAGAGGUGAAAUUCGUAGAUAUUAGAAAGAAUACCAAUUGCGAAGGCAGCUUUCUGGAUCAUUACUGACACUGAGGAACGAAAGCAUGGGUAGCGAAGAGGAUUAGAUACCCUCGUAGUCCAUGCCGUAAACGAUGUGUGUUAGACGUUGGAAAUUUAUUUUCAGUGUCGCAGCGAAAGCGAUAAACACACCGCCUGGGGAGUACGACCGCAAGGUUA
rnacentral:rRNA from 1 species